ensembl:snRNA U7 U7 small nuclear RNA
AAGUUUUUUUAGCUCUUUCAGAAUUUGUCUAACAUGUUUUUUGUCUUAAUAAAACCAUGAAAAAUGCCU